AAAAAAAAAUGGUUUCCAUAAAGUUUCCACAUCAGCUUUAAUUCAACUCAGCUUUCAGAUUUCUGAUUUCACGCCAGUACAAUUUACUUUUGGUCCAAAUUGACAUGUAUUGCUCUGAAGUGUGAAGCUACACAGAAUCCCUGUCAUUGCAAUUUGGAUCCUAUGUUGCCCCAGUGUGACAGUUAAACCAUCAGAUGAACUCAGACUUGCUUUUCUGUUAAUUCUUGCCUGGAUUAAAGGAAAAAUUAUUGUAGUUGAACAAGCAGGACUUCUCUCUUUCUCAAUCAUAGUCCUGUGCAAACUUUUGUACCAAUCUCUUUUCUUUUUAGGUAAAUGGAAAGCAGGCCUUUGCUCCACAGAGAGCAGCUGGUUAUGGUAAAACAGGGUAAGUCAUGUACAGCAUGUGUGUGUGUGUAUGUGUGUGUGUGUGUGUGUGAAGAAAUGUAUACUCCAUUUCCUCAGCAGCCACAUGAAUAAUACAGAAUGUUCCUGACCGACAGCCAAGAUGCAUAGAUUGGACAGUACACUGCUCUCACUUUCUCGGUUUCUAUCUCUGCCUCUCCUCCGUGAACCUCCCUCGCUCCCCAUCUCUGUGGGGGGGACAGAUGAAUCUGCAAGUUUUGGCAGUAGAAUAAGGGAAAGUUUAGGACUGGGAUUAGGUAACUGGAGUUUUAUGAGAGCUGAGCACCAGCCUUCAUAAUAAAUUCUAUCUAGUCUGACCUUCCUUUCUCCUUAACCUCUUUAACUUAACAACCAUAACAUGAUUGAGCAAGAAAAAUGUGUGCAUGUGUGGGACAGAGUCAGAAAAAAGUAUGCAUACUCAUGACUGUGGCUAUUUGUGUAUAUUUGCCAACCACAGCCCAGGGUGGGGAUACUGUUCCCCAUUCACUAAAACUACAGCAACCAGUGCUGGGAAAGCACGCUGCACUAAUGGCCAGGCCCUGCUGCUGACCUGGGUGCCUUGUGCACAAGGCUCCACUGCGGUUUGUUUUCGCCUGCAGCGAAGAGAGAGGUCUUGCCAGACUGACUCUGGCUUAGUAUGAAUGGCCGUGCAUGGGUGCCUGUACUUACACAAAGCACCUUGAGCUGAACAAUAUAAUGGAACAUAGUUUAUCAGGAUCCUGGGGGAGAAGGAUGAUGGUUUAAGAGGUAGAGGUGUGUGUAAAUCAGGUGGAGAGAAUACACAUACUACAGGCAGAACUGAAGAAAUACUUAUGAUGUCACAACAACAUAUAAAAUGAAUGGUCACAACCUGUAAGACAGACAACUGACAAUUGUUGUCUAAAUCAGAAUGUGAAUGGUGCUUAGGAUUCGAGAUAAAAAUCUGAAGCAUUUUGAACGAGUUAAGAAAAUCAGAUGGGAUUGCUUUACAGUCACCCCCCCACGCCCUUCCACCCCCGUUCAGCUGCCUCGUCUUCUCAUUGCUCUUCCGUCUGUCCGUAGGUCCUGGUUUAUUUGUGCAGCGCUUGUGUGCUCCCAGCAGUCUGCACAUAUGUGUGUCUGAUGAUUGCCAUGUUAAUAAGGGGUCAGUGUAGAGUUUCCAGUGCAGCUUUGUGUUUGUGUGUGCGCAUGUUGGGGGAUGGGUGCGCCAUGUGUGUUCAUUGCUUGUUUUCUUCUCUCGCAUUGCGAAGCGUGAGUCCUGCAGGCUGGGAAUUUUGUCUGCUUGAAGUGGCGAGAGAGGAAUGGUGUCCCUGACCGCAAGAUUGCCAGGAUAUGCUUUGAAUCCCCUAAUGGGAGUCAGAAUCACACGUGCCUUGGAAAACACUGAGUACUUCAGCUGGUGCUUGUGUGUGCACAAAGCCAGAUGUAACGUAACCAUGCAAGGCGUGCUGACGUCAAAGGCCAUGCAAAUGACAUCAAACUGACGUUUCCCACAGAAUCUGACCCGACAGCUCAAAUUAUAAAUCAUUAUUAUAAGCUUACCGGUAAGAGCUGCAGUGCAAGGUGCUAACUUGCCUUCGGGAGCAACAUGGGGUUCAGUAUCUUGCCCAAGGACACUUCGGCAUGUGGAGUCAUGUGGGCCGAGAAUCGAACCGCCAACCCUACGAUUAGCGGACAACCCGUGCUACCAACUGAGCCACAGCCACAGUUGAAUAGUGUCAGUUGUACAGGCUCCAUGAUUGUACAUGCCAAUCUCUGCUUUACAGAAGUUCAGCUCCCAGGCUCCAAUCAUCCGAUGUGUCACACCUGCAUGUCAUUAAUCAGGGGUGGUAUUGCUGUUCGUUUUGAGAGUUCAAAGGUACAUUAUACCUGAGGCUGUUCACGGAGUCUCAACAGACUCAAAUAAGAGCAUGUUUCAGCCCCCAAGACAAUACAACCAACCAACUCCUAUCUUUUAGCAAACAGGACUGGCAUGUUAGAACUAAGCAAAGGCAUAAUACUCAUUUAGCUGUUAUUCAUGAAGAGCAGUUUAAAUAACAUGUCAGAGAAUCUGUGAGAACCAGAUAAAGAUAAAGCACUGAUUGAUUUGGAUGAUUGAUAUUUUUAGUAGGGUAUGUUUGCACGAUAACGGUGUACUAAAAACGGAAAGUUUUUCCUUUGCAUUUUUAAAAAGUUUCAUGUACAGACGAGAACGUUGUCCAAACGAUCCCUGUUCACACGGAUCCACGAAAACGACUAAAAACACUGUAUUAUGCAUGACAGGCCAGUAGUUGGCGAUGUCACUUGGCGAUGUCAUGAAACACUAUGUGCCUG
ensembl:lncRNA